rnacentral:misc_RNA from 1 species
CUCAUUUCAAUGAUUGAUGAGUUUGGCCAUGUUCUGAAUGGUGCCAGAUCUUACUACACCAACAGAAGUCAGCCUCCCCUUUUGAGUUCAAUGGUUUAUGAUAUAUACCUUAGGACAGGGGAUUUAGAGUUUGUGAGCAAUGCACUCCCAGCCUUAAUUAAAGAGCAUAAGUUUUGGAAUUCAGGAUUCCAUUCCAUUACUGUCCGGGAUGCUCCUGGUGGAAAUGGAAAUCACUCUUUAUCUAGAUACUAUGCAAUGUGGAACGAGCCGAGGCCAGAAUCGUCACUGCUGGAUGUGAAACUUGCCUCAAAGUUUGUUAAUAACUAUGAGAAACAACAUCUAUACCGGGAAAUUGCAUCGGCAGCUGAAUCCGGUUGGGAUUUCAGUACAAGAUGG